UACGCUCAAAUCAUGUUGAAACACCGGUCCCCGUACAAUCACAGAAGUUAAGCAACGUCGAGCCUGGUCAGUCCCUACUGGGUAACCGUUUGGGAAUACAAGGUACUGUAUG